AAAGGGAGACCUAAUUCCGGUAGGAGACGAAAAAAAAGUAGUCCCUACCAAGAAUCAAUCCCAAAAGGUCGGAACGAGGUAUGAGGCUUUCAAACUAGGUUCUGGGUUCAUAAAAGACCUGAAUCAGGAGCAAGGGCUAUUAGCUCAGGUGGUUAGAGCGCACCCCUGAUAAGGGUGAGGUCCCUGGUUCGAGUCCAGGAUGGCCCACCUGCACAGGUGGCAAAAACAAAAGAAGCGAGGAAUCAGCACCUUAUCUUAUAUACAUAUAUAAGAGAGAAUGCUGGCUCUGAGUACAGAGUCCAGAGGAACCUUGAAAACUGCAUAGAGCUAGGUGAAAAAGCCAAAAAAGAAGACCGCAAG
rnacentral:tRNA from 1 species